rnacentral:rRNA from 1 species
GGGACGAACGCUGGCGGCGUGCUUAACACAUGCAAGUCGAGCGGUAAGGCCUUUCGGGGUACACGAGCGGCGAACGGGUGAGUAACACGUGGGUGAUCUGCCCUGCACUCUGGGAUAAGCCUGGGAAACUGGGUCUAAUACCGGAUAUGACCUGCUCUCGCAUGGGGGUGGGUGGAAAGAUUUAUCGGUGCAGGAUGGGCCCGCGGCCUAUCAGCUUGUUGGUGGGGUAAUGGCCUACCAAGGCGACGACGGGUAGCCGACCUGAGAGGGUGACCGGGCCAACGACUGGGACUGAGACACGGCCCAGACUCCUACGGGAGGCAGCAGUGGGGAAUAUGCACAAUGGGCGAAAGCCUGAUGCAGCGACGCCGCGUGAGGAUGAAGGCCUUCGGGGUUGUAAACCUCUUUCAGCGAGGACGAAGCGCAAGUGACGGUACCUGACAGAAGAAGCACCGGCUAACUACGUGCCCAGCAGCCGC